CCGCCGACGCAGCGGCGCCAGAGGACACUCUUGUCACCCCGGGGUGUGGGUGCCAGGGGAUGGGCUCCAAGACGCCAGCCUGUGAGCCACGUCAGGAAGAGUGGGCCACCCUGGCCCCAGAGUGAUGCGGGAGGACGGGCAGGAGGGGCAGGGUGAGGACCCGUGGGAGGGGCCUCGGUGCAGCCCUGUGGUGCUCUGUGCGCGGUAGAGCCCAACGUAUGCAGAGGAGCCAGCCGGACACUCGAGUCCCUACGGGAUGGGGGCCCUGCAGACUUGCCCAGGCCCCCGGGGCACCCGCAGGAAAAGCUGCAGCUAUUUCAUUAGUUCUAGAAGACAGAAGGAGGGGAAUGUGCAGGCCGGGGGAUCGUGCACGACCCUCAUGCAGCAGCGGUGAAACGGAAGCGGUGCCUCCUGCAUUGACUUGCAGUGGGGAGUCCAGCCUCGUCCACACACUGCGGGAAGGGACGCGAUGAGGAUCAGCCUGGCUGCCUUCCAGGUUCCCGGGGCCACCAAGUGACUCCCGCAGUUGGGCGGUUGGACGGGUGUCCCGCAUGGUCUGGGGGCUGAGGCCUUCCCCCUGCGAGCCCGCGCGGUCCCUCUGGCAGGCCCAUGUGCCCAUCCCUCUUACAAGGACACGGAGGGUACGGGAUCAGGGCCCCCCUAGGCACCCCCCAAACCUUAAUCUCCCGACCCCACAGUCAUAGGUGCAGGUGCUGGGGGCCGGGCCUUGACUGCGAAGGCUGGGGGGUGGGACAGGCUGCGCCCCCAGGGCAGUGCACGUCUCUAGCAUCAGGGAGCCGGGGGUGGCCUUGCGGAGAGCGUAGAGCCUCUGAGUGACGCGGGGGCCGGCGUGAAAGGUGAGCGGGUGGGAGUCGUCGCGGUCGUCCUGCACGGACACCCACAGGUCCAUCCGGCGCCGUCAGCACAGCCCUUGUAUCCCCCCUCGGUGGACGUCAUCAAGUUGUGCUGGGCUGGCGGCUGCGGCAGCUGCGGUUCCGGGGAGGCCGGGCAGUCUGGCCAUCGGGCUCCGCAGGGCUGGCCAGGAGGAUCGGGCUCAUCUUGAAGGCGGGGAAAGGUCACCAGAGUGCCAGGAGCGAGUCCCCGUGGACAGAGGUGCCCAAGAGCCGGUUGAGCAGCUGCCGGUGGACCGCCCCAGUGGGGUGCCCAAGCCGUGCGCACAGGCACCCGGCAACGCCUGGCCCCUGUCCCCCCUGGAGGCCGGCCGCCCCCGCGCCAGCAGCUUCCGAGGUGCCGCCUCCGGUGCCCGCUGCCUCAGGUGGCUCUGCGUGACCGGAGCCUCCGGGGAGGCGCUCAGGGUCCUUGGGCUGUGCUCACGGCACCGCCACACAGCGACCCCUUCGCUGGAGUUUAAGCCUUUGCUUUAAUGGUAGAAAGAGUCGCUGGGCUAAUCCCAAGGGGCUUGAAAUAAAUACUUGCUGCCCGAGGCGAAAGCAGCGUUCGCGGUAAAGGUGGGAACGCAGAGGACAGCACGCAGAGGAGCGGGCCUGCAGGAGGACAGACCUGGCCGUCACGUCGGGGCCGGACCUCCGCUGGACGCCGACCAGCUGCUCGGUGGCCCCGGCUCAUGCCUGCCCGCCCCGCCUGGGGGGAGACGGAAGGUGCCCCCGCAGCAAGCAGAGCGGAGGCAGUGACGGGCUGGGCCCAAGGACCACAGACCUGGAGACGUGCCUCCCGGGCUCCUGGGGCCAGUCUGAACGGCGCGGGCGUCCUGUGUCUGGCCCCCAGGGACCGCGUCCAAGUGCAAAGACACAGCAGACCUAUGCCGUCCUCAGAAGAGGCGUUUAAGACGCCCUGCUUCAGAGUGACGGUCCCGAUGAUCUAGCGCUUUGCUGUCGCUGGUGUACGGUGGGGUCCAGGCCACAGAGAGGGAGGGGACGCAUCCCGACAGCGAUUGUAGAAUACACCGGAAGCAGUCUGGACGGUCCCUGCACUGCCCGGAGUGGGACUCCUUGCUCAGGAGCCCCUGGGAUUUGGACUGGAACAGUGGCCGGAGGAGCUGUAAUCGCAAACCAGCCUCACGCCGCGAGGGACCCUGUGUGCUGUGCAGUCGUUGUAUGGCCACAGGGAACAGUGAGUCCUGCAGACAGGCCGUCCCCAUCUACACAGAAGGAGAAAGCGAGACGGCCUUCACAGCACAGCAGGGCAGGACUAGGGGGUGGCCCCAGACUGGACCAGGCAGCCUGGCAGGGGCGCAAGCCCCCUGUGCAUCAGGGGUGCGGGGUUGGAUGGGAGGCAGAGGGUGAGGACACCUGCUAGGGCCCUUCUCAGCUGUACCACUUACCUGCCUGAGGUGGCCGACCAUGCGGCCUCAUGGGCACAGGUGCUGGGUGUUGGGCCAAACAUCUCCCUGGACGCGUCUAUGAGGGCGUUUCUGGAGGAGAUUAACAUUGGAGGCCAGACUAGUAACGCGGGGGGCCCUCCCCAGUGUGGGCCGACCUCCUCCGACCUGCUGACGACCCCAAGAUGAUGAAACACUGGUCCAGCGCUGGUGAGAAGGGGUGUGUCUCUGCCCACCUGUCUUCAAGGUGGGCCACUGUCUUCCGCUCACACGAGUGCAGAUGGGAACCACACGAUGGGCUUUCUGGGGGCCCCAGCUUGCUGACUGCAGGUCUGGGACUCCGCAUCCUCCAA